CUGUCAUAUCAGGUGGAAACACCGGUUCUCGUACGAUCGCCAAAGUUAAGCAACACCAGACCUGGUCAGUACCAAGAUGGGUGACCGCUGAGGAUACCAGGUGCUGUAAG